rnacentral:rRNA from 1 species
UCGAUUAGACCAUGCGAGUCGAGAGUCUUAGGGACUCGGCAUACUGCUCAGUAACACGUGGAUAACCUGCCCUGUACUGGAGAAUAACCUCGGGAAACUGAGAAUAAUACUCCAUAGACCACAAUGCCUGGAACGGUUUGUGGUUCAAAGCUCCGGCGGUACAGGAUGGGUCUGCGGCGUAUCAGGUUGUAGGGGGUGUAAAGGACCUCCUAGCCAUUGACGCGUACGGGUUGUGGGAGCAAUAGCCCGGAGAUGGAUUCUGAGACACGAAUCCAGACCCUACGGGGUGCAGCAGGCGCGAAAACUUCACACUGCGGGAAACCGUGAUGAGGGAACUCCAAGUGUUAGCACAAUGUGCUAUCUUUUCUUGACUUUUAAUAGGUCUUGGAAUAAGGGGCGGGAAAGACCGGUGCCAGCCGCCGCGGUAAUACCGGCGCCUCAAGUGGUAGUCGCUUUUAUUGGGCCUAAAACGUCCGUAGCCGGUCUGAUACAUUCGUGGGUAAAUCAACCAGCUUAACUGGUUGAAUUCUGCGAGGACGGUCAGACUUGGGACCGGGAGAGGUGUGGGGUACGCUCAGGGUAGGGGUAAAAUCCUGUCAUCCUGAGCGGACCACCUGUUGCGAAGGCGCCACACUAGAACGGAUCCGACGGUCAGGGACGAAGCCUAGGGGCACGAACCGGAUUAGAUACCCGGGUAGUCCUAGGUGUAAACGCUGUGGACUUGAUGUUGGGGGUGCUCCGAGCACUCUCAGUGUCGAAGCGAAGGUGAUAAGUCCACUGCCUGGGAAGUACGGUCGCAAGGCUGAAACUUAAAGGAAUUGGCGGGGGAGCACCGCAACCUGAGGAUUGUGCGGUUUAAUUGGAUUCAACGCCGGAAAACUCACCAUAGCCGACGGACAAAUGAAGGUCAGUGUAAUGAACUUACCGGAUUGUUCGAGAGGUAGUGCAUGGCCGCCGUCAGUUCGUACCGCAAGGCGUUCUGUUAAGUCAGAUAACGAACGAGACCCUCAUCUCUAU